AUGUCUCAAGGACCGAGUGAGUUGUUAUGGAUGAGGAACCUAUUAGAAGGGCUUAAGAUAUUGAAGACCAGUUGCAUGAAUGAACCUAUUAGAAGGUGUGACAAGAAGUCCGCAAUCAAUGCAGCAAACCCCCCAGUUCAACAUGAUAGAACCAAACAUUUGGAGCUAGACAAAUUAUUUAUCAAAGAAAAGCUAGAUGCUGGGAUUAUCAAGAUAGAGCAUAUGAGUUCAUGGCAACAAAUUACAGAUUGCUUGCAAGGACUGGGAACCAGAGAAUGCAACCUACCGUGUGACAAGAUGGGAAUGAUAGAUAUCUAUCACCCCUCUUGA
rnacentral:rRNA from 1 species